UUGAUUUCGAUUUGUAAAUCAGACUCAGACGCAAGAGACGCAGAGUGUGUGGUUACCUCCGGGGCGGGUCUGGCGUGAACCAAGGCCACGGCCCCGAAGCAACAGAGGUCGGUACGCAAAGGGGUUGGAGGUCGGGCCCGGAGGACCCUUCACUCGGUAAUGAUCCCUCCGCAGGUUCACCUACGGAGA
rnacentral:misc_RNA from 1 species